rnacentral:rRNA from 1 species
AGGGUUCGAGUUCUGGCUCAGGACGAACGCUGGCGGCGUGCUUCAUACAUGCAAGUCGAACGAGAAGCUGACUUCGGUCAGUGGAAAGUGGCGGACGGGUGAGUAAUAUGUAGGAAAUCUGCCCUAGAGAGGGGGACAACAGAGGGAAACUUCUGCUAAUACCCCAUAUGAGCUUAGUUGAAAUACUAAUCUUGAAAACUCCGGUGCUCUAGGAUGAGCCUGCAUCUGAUUAGCUAGUUGGCGGUGUAAUGGACCACCAAGGCGACGAUCAGUAGCUGGUUUGAGAGGAUGAUCAGCCACAAUGGGACUGAGACACGGCCCAUACUCCUACGGGAGGCAGCAGUAGGGAAUUUUGCGCAAUGGGCGAAGGCCUGACGCAGCAACGCCGCGUGAACGAUUAAGCCCUUCGGGGUGUAAAGUUCUGUCAGUAGGGACGAAACUUGACGGUACCUACAGAGGAAGCACCGGCUAACUCCGUGCCAGCCGCUGC